CCCCGCUUCCACGGGGUCUUUAGGCGGCCGGCCCGGCUGCCCCGCGGCUCAGCGGGCCCCAGCACAGGCCCGGGCCGGCCACGGCGGCCAGCGAGGCGGGACGGCGGCGCGGCCUCGGAGCCUGACGGCGGGGCUCCCGGGCCCGUCCCGCCACCAGGCUGCGCCCGCCCGGCCCAGCGGCGCCACCGCCCACGGACAAUGGCGGCGGCCGGGGCCCCUCGGCAGCUCCGGGCGCCGCCGCUCCCCCUGCCGCCGGCUCACCUGCAGGCCGCCGCCUCCGCCCGGCGCGCUCCGAGCCCGGCCUCAGCACCGGCCCCCAGGCCCGCGGCGCCCCGGGGCCCAUCCGACGCGGCGCUCGGGCCGGAAGCGCCCUGACGCCCUUCCGGGGAGGGGCUCCGAGCAGCCGCGCCGCCGCGGGCCGCCGCCUCGCCCGGGGGAGCGGCCUUCCGCCCGGUGCCGCCCUGGCGGCCGGGAAGAACUAGUGCCCCCGAGCGCCCGGCCCGCCGCGGCCUGGGGGCGGGGGGCGGCGCGGCCGGCUGGUGCCUGCGUGGCCCUCGGGCGGCCGGCGGCGCCUGGUGCCCCGAGCCCCGCCGGGAGCGUGGCCGCCGCCGCGCUCGGGGCCCUGGGCCUUGCCCGAGCUCUCGUCGCGGUCAGGCGGCUCCGAGGCCUUGCUUGGCCCUCCUCAGGGCCGCGCGCCCCUCGCAGCCAUCCCGGGGGCCCGGUGAGCAGGCGGGCCCUGCGGCAAUGCACCCAAGCCAGUCUUGGCCAUCGUCUGGAAUGCUCAACAUCAUGAGGAACUCCAGACUCCUCAGCACAGCCAGCCCGACAGGAUGGUGGCAGAAUGACUCAGGGAGCAGGGGCUUCUGCGGGCCCCAGGGCAGUCUCACACCAAGUUCCAUGGCCUGGGGUCGGUU
rnacentral:lncRNA from 12 species